GACGAACGCUGGCGGCGUGCUUAACACAUGCAAGUCUACGAGAACGAGGUAGCAAUAUCUUUAUUAAAGUGGCGCACGGGUGAGUAACACGUAAGUAACCUACCUUUAGAUUUGGAAUAACCCCGAGAAAUCGGGGCUAAUACUGAAUGAUGCAGCGGCACCACAUGGUGAUGUUGUUAAAGUCUAUAUGACGUCUAAAGAUGGGCUUGCGUCUGAUUAGCUAGUUGGUGAGGUAACGGCCCACCAAGGCUACGAUCAGUAGCUGGUCUGAGAGGAUGAUCAGCCACACUGGAACUGAGACACGGUCCAGACUCCUACGGGAGGCAGCAGUGAGGAAUAUUGGGCAAUGCCCGGAAGGGUGACCCAGCAACGCCGCGUGGAGGAUGAAUGCCGUAAGGUUGUAAACU
rnacentral:rRNA from 1 species